rnacentral:rRNA from 1 species
GAUGAACGCUGGCGGCGUGCCUAAUACAUGCAAGUCGAGCGAACAGAUGAGGAGCUUGCUCCUCUGACGUUAGCGGCGGGCGGGUGAGUAACACGUGGAUAACCUACCUAUAAGACUGGGAUAACUUCGGGAAACCGGAGCUAAUACCGGAUAAUAUAUUGAACCGCAUGGUUCAAUAGUGAAAGACGGUUUUGCUGUCACUUAUAGAUGGAUCCGCGCCGCAUUAGCUAGUUGGUAAGGUAACGGCUUACCAAGGCAACGAUGCGUAGCCGACCUGAGAGGGUGAUCGGCCACACUGGAACUGAGACACGGUCCAGACUCCUACGGGAGGCAGCAGUAGGGAAUCUUCCGCAAUGGGCGAAAGCUUGACGGAGCAACGCCGCGUGAGUGAUGAAGGUCUUCGGAUCGUAAAACUCUGUUAUUAGGGAAGAACAAAUGUGUAAGUAACUAUGCACGUCUUGACGGUACCUAAUCAGAAAGCCACGGCUAACUACGUG